GUGAGGAAUAUUGGUCAAUGGGCGGGAGCCUGAACCAGCCAAGUCGCGUGAGGGAAGACGGUCCUAUGGAUUGUAAACUUCUUUUGUCAGGGAGCAAGGGUGGCUACGUGUAGCCAUUCUGAGAGUACCUGAAGAAAAAGCAUCGGCUAACUCCGUGCCAGCAGCCGCGGUAAUACGGAGGAUGCGAGCGUUAUCCGGAUUUAUUGGGUUUAAAGGGUGCGUAGGCGGACUGGAAAGUCAGCGGUAAAAUUGAGAGGCUCAACCUCUUCCCGCCGUUGAAACUGUCGGUCUUGAGUGGGCGAGAAGUAUGCGGAAUGCGUGGUGUAGCGGUGAAAUGCAUAGAUAUCACGCAGAACUCCGAUUGCGAAGGCAGCAUACCGGCGCCCAACUGACGCUGAGGCACGAAAGCGUGGGUAUCAAACAGGA
rnacentral:rRNA from 1 species